AUUGAACGCUGGCGGCAGGCCUAACACAUGCAAGUCGAGCGGAUGAAGGGAGCUUGCUCCUGGAUUCAGCGGCGGACGGGUGAGUAAUGCCUAGGAAUCUGCCUGGUAGUGGGGGAUAACGUCCGGAAACGGGCGCUAAUACCGCAUACGUCCUGAGGGAGAAAGUGGGGGAUCUUCGGACCUCACGCUAUCAGAUGAGCCUAGGUCGGAUUAGCUAGUUGGUGGGGUAAAGGCCUACCAAGGCGACGAUCCGUAACUGGUCUGAGAGGAUGAUCAGUCACACUGGAACUGAGACACGGUCCAGACUCCUACGGGAGGCAGCAGUGGGGAAUAUUGGACAAAGGGCGAAAGCCUGAUCCAGCCAUGCCGCGUGUGUGAAGAAGGUCUUCGGAAUGUAAAGCACUUUAAGUUGGGAGGAAGGGCAGUAAGUUAAUACCUUGCUGUUUUGACGUUACCAACAGAAUAAGCACCGGCUAACUUCGUG
rnacentral:rRNA from 1 species